rnacentral:sRNA from 1 species
AGGACAAAGUGAUCCAUGCCGUCCCGCCGCACGCGUGCGGACGAUCUCACGUAGCG